rnacentral:rRNA from 1 species
GAUGAACGCUGGCGGCGUGCCUAAUACAUGCAAGUCGAGCGAACGGACGAGAAGCUUGCUUCUCUGAUGUUAGCGGCGGACGGGUGAGUAACACGUGGAUAACCUACCUAUAAGACUGGGAUAACUUCGGGAAACCGGAGCUAAUACCGGAUAAUAUUAUGAACCGCAUGGUUCAAAAGUGAAAGACGGUCUUGCUGUCACUUAUAGAUGGAUCCGCGCUGCAUUAGCUAGUUGGUAAGGUAACGGCUUACCAAGGCAACGAUGCAUAGCCGACCUGAGAGGGUGAUCAGCCACACUGGAACUGAGACACGGUCCAGACUCCUACGGGAGGCAGCAGUAGGGAAUCUUCCGCAAUGGGCGAAAGCCUGACGGAGCAACGCCGCGUGAGUGAUGAAGGUCUUCGGAUCGUAAAGCUCUGUUAGUAGGGAAGAACAUAUGUGUAAGUAACUGUGCACAUCUUGACGGUACCUAAUCAGAAAGCCACGGCUAACUACGUG